UACAGAGGCCCCAAGCGUUACUGAGAAUCACUGGGUUUAAAGGGUGCGUAGGUGGCGCGUUAAGUCCGUUGUGAAAUCCCUUGGCUCAACCAAGGAAUGGCUUCGGAUACUGGCGUGCUUGAGGCUAGUAUGGGUCACUGGAACUGACGGUGGAGCGGUGAAAUGCGUAGAUAUCGUCAGGAACGCCAAUGGUGAAGACAGGUGACUGGGCUAGAUCUGACACUGAGGCACGAAAGCGUGGGGAGCGAACGGG
rnacentral:rRNA from 1 species